ACGGCUCAGUAACACGUGGAUAACCUGCCCUUGGGUCCGGCAUAACCCCGGGAAACUGGGGAUAAUUCCGGAUAACGCAUAUGUGCUGGAAUGCUUUAUGCGUCAAAUGGAUUCGUCUGCCCAAGGAUGGGUCUGCGGCCUAUCAGGUAGUAGUGGGUGUAAUGUACCUACUAGCCGACAACGGGUACGGGUUGUGAGAGCAAGAGCCCGGAGAUGGAUUCUGAGACAUGAAUCCAGGCCCUACGGGGCGCAGCAGGCGCGAAAACUUUACAAUGCGGGAAACCGUGAUAAGGGGACACCGAGUGUCAGCAUCAUAUGCUGGCUGUCCAGGUGUGUAAAAUACACCUGUUAGCAAGGGCCGGGCAAGACCGGUGCCAGCCGCCGCGGUAACACCGGCGGCCCGAGUGGUGAUCGUGAUUAUUGGGUCUAAAGGGUCCGUAGCCGGUUUGGUCAGUCCUCCGGGAAAUCUGAUAGCUCAACUAUUAGGCUAUCGGGGGAUACUACCAGACUUGGAACCGGGAGAGGUAAGAGGUACUACAGGGGUAGGAGUGAAAUCUUGUAAUCCCUGUGGGACCACCUGUGGCGAAGGCGUCUUACCAGAACGGGUUCGGCGGUGAGGGACGAAAGCUGGGGGCACGAACCGGAUUAGAUACCCGGGUAGUCCCAGCCGUAAACGAUGCUCGCUAGGUGUCAGGCAUGGCGCGACCGUGUCUGGUGCCGCAGGGAAGCCGUGAAGCGAGCCACCUGGGAAGUACGGCCGCAAGGCUGAAACUUAAAGGAAUUGGCGGGGGAGA
rnacentral:rRNA from 1 species